GCUAUAGCUCAGUGGUAGAGCAUCUGUUUUGUAUGCUCAGGGUCCCAGGUUUGACCCCUGGCAUCUCCA